rnacentral:tRNA from 1 species
GAGGGUAUAGCUCAGUGGUAGACUGCGUGCCUAGCAAGCACGAGGUCCUGAGUUCAUUCCCCAGCACCUCCA